rnacentral:lncRNA from 1 species
ACGCAGGCUCGGCUGUCUCUUUAGGCCACGGAGCCGCGUAGAUCCGGAGCCCCGGGCGACUGAUCUGUCCCCAUUGGGCGAGACCUACCUAGACAAAGGCCUUAACGUACCGACAAAGGCCUUAAGGGGCCUGGGAGGAAGUCAUACAAAAUAAAUGUCUUCUGGAGAUGACUUUUGGAAAUGGAGUUAUUAGACGGCCUCUGGAAGCGAUACAUCCAUGUUUGUUCAGUGGGUUAGAUGACAUGGAGCUGGAAGACCUGAGAAGGAAGAGAAGAAGGUUCUAUGACAGACUGGUCAUAUUUAGAAGACACUUUCGUAUUCUAUCCAUAGUUUUGUAUGCAUUUUAUUCCUCACUACUG